CUCCUGUUGAAGACCCAAAGGGGUGCACAAGUCAAAAGCUUCAGGAGGAGAUGUCACCUGACUUAGAAAACGCUACAAGUGAAUAUCACCACACUCCUGUUGACAACCCAGAGGAGUAUACACGUGGCAGUGAGGAGGAGGAGGUGGCCUCUGACACGGAGAAGCCUGCGGCCCAGUAUCACCACCGUCCUGUUGAGGUCCUACAGGACCUCAUCAUAGAAGACAUAGAGGACGAUGAGAUUCCCCGUGAUGUGGAGAAGCCUGCGGCCCAGUAUCACCACCGUCCUGUUGAGGUCCUACAGGACCUCAUCAUAGAAGACAUUGAAGACGAUGAGAUUCCCCGUGAUGUGGACCCCGUGACAGCCCCAAAAGACAUCUGCUGGAAAGUGUAAGCAAUGCCUUGUUGAAGAUCUCUGGCUCCACAGAGCCUGGAGGGAGUCUGAGAACACGGAGGAAAGCUCAGGGUGAUCUCGUGUAAUCCAGUGUGACCUCACCUGGAGUAGGAGGGUGGGUGAGUCACUCUCUGAAAUAACUUCUUGCUGAGAUUUGUGUCUCUAAAGAUUGGCCAGUGGAUACCAUCCAUGAGGGAAGCUGCAAUAGGAUAAUUUCUGCAGGUAGAAAAUGAUACCCUAGGCCGGGCGCAGUGCAGAAGAUGGCGUUACACUAUUUCCUGUCUUCAAAAACUAGGCUUCCGUUGUUCUCUAAGUUGAUAUUUAUAAGUUAAGUUCUGGACCUUUUAUUUACAGAUUGCUAAGAGUUGUGCAGGAAACUCCAUAGGAUAAAAUGUGCUGAUAGCACAUAAUUCUGUCCAUGCUAUGCUAUGGAUGACGUUUUUAUCUUUGGAGGAUCCUCAUUCUACAUAAUAAGAUGCAAAACUAAGUGGGCACUUUCUAUCCAGUCUGGGGCACUUCAUUAAAGAACUGAGUUUGCUGCUGUCUGUAAUUUGCUUUUCUUCGUGAGACCUUUGAACCACCUAAAUAUUGCCAGCACCCUCUUUUGGGACCCUGACAUCUGAGAGG
rnacentral:lncRNA from 13 species